rnacentral:pre_miRNA from 1 species
AUACUACUCCCUCAGUCCCAAAAUUCUUGUCUUAGAUUUGUCUAAAUACGGAUGUAUCAAGUCACAUUUUAGUAUUAGAUACAUCCGUAUCUAGACAAAUAUAAGACAAGAAUUUAUGGACGGAGGGAGUAGCAU